AAACUGUCGGCGGCCAUGACACUUUACCCGCAUCGGAUCAUUGAAGAGAGAGUGACAGCUUGUUCUCGGGAGACAGAUCAGUGUCUGUAGAGAGAAAACAUUUUGACCAGGUGGAGUCAGGCUUCUUCUUCGUCUUUGGACCACUAGGCAGAAGACGCCAAUUUUGGAUCAAUUAUGCUGAUGCCCCACUGUAAGAACCUGGAGAUCUUCUCUGUUUCUGGUGGAGGUGACGUGGCCACAAACAAUCCGUGGGACACCUUCCAACGCUACCUCUGUCUGGACAACAGCCAGAGGGUGAUCAAGACAUCUUCAACCUCAUUGGAGGAGACGACCCAAGGUUCCUUACCUCAGACUUCCUCCAAUGGGUUUUGAGAAGGAUCUCCUCCAUCACUGCAACGGAUUGUCUGGUCUGCUGUCCGGUCUGCCACCUGCCCUCCUUCGAGGCCCUGCACGACUCCAGGGCAAGGAAGCGUGCAGGAAAGAUCAUUGCCAACCCCUUCCGUCCCCUCUGGCAAACGGUUCAGGUCAAUCACGACCAAAACCUCACGCCGCCUGAACAGUUUCUUCCCCUUGUGCCAUGGCCCUCAUCCAACCGGCAACCUGGUCUACGAUGAUCCUGUCAUCCAUGGACUUUGUACUCUGCGCUAUUCAUCCAUCCCAGAACUGCACAUUGCUCUUUGCAUUCUCUUACAUGCAUAAUGUAUAAUGUAGCUUAUAGCGCUCACAGUGUACAUACUGUAUGUGAAUCUGUGGAGAUUCUGCAGGUAUAUAUUUUUUGGUCUGUAAAUUUAGUUUAUCAUCUGUCUGUAUAUUGUUUAUUGUUGCAGCACCAUUUCAGUCAUUCCUGUACAUGCAAAUGUAUUUGGCGAAUAAAGCUGAUAUGUUAACCUGA